rnacentral:rRNA from 1 species
UACGUAGGGUGCGAGCGUUAAUCGGAAUUACUGGGCGUAAAGCGUGCGCAGGCGGUUAUGCAAGACAGAUGUGAAAUCCCCGGGCUCAACCUGGGAACUGCAUUUGUGACUGCAUAGCUGGAGUGCGGCAGAGGGGGAUGGAAUUCCGCGUGUAGCAGUGAAAUGCGUAGAUAUGCGGAGGAACACCGAUGGCGAAGGCAAUCCCCUGGGCCUGCACUGACGCUCAUGCACGAAAGCGUGGGGGAGCAAACAGG